rnacentral:rRNA from 1 species
ACGGCUCAGUAACACGUAGUCAACCUACCCUAAGAUCAGGGAUACCCUCGGGAAACUGAGGCUAAACCCUGAUAGGUGAAGGAGGCUGGAAUGCGCCUUCGCUUAAACGUAAGGUCUUAGGAUGGGACUGCGGCCGAUUAGGUAGUUGUUGAGGUAAUUACUCAACAAGCCAAUUAUCGGUAAGGGCUCUUAACGGAGAGGCCCUGAGAGGGAUUCUGAGAUACUAAUCCCAGCUCUAUGGAGUGCAGCAGGCGAGAAAAUUCUCCAAUGUUCGAAAGAAUGAGAGAGGAAUCCAAAGUGCUUCUCAAUUUGAGAAGCUUUUCUUCUCUUUAAAAAGGAGGAGGAAUAAGGACUGGGCAAGACUGGUGCCAGCCGCCGCGGUAAUCCCAGCAGUCCAAGUCGUGGCCACAUUUAUUAGGUCUAAAACAUUCGUAGCUUGUUUUGUAAGUUCUUUGUGAAAUUGUUGCACUUAAUGCAACAGCGGGCAAGGGAGACUGCAAAACUAGAGACCGGGAGGCGCGAUGAGUACGUUCAAGGUAGCGGUAAAAUGUUUUAAUCUUGGACGGACUGACAAAUUGGCGAAGGCAUGUCGCGAGAACGGGAUCUGACAGUGAGGAAUGAAGGCCCGGGGCGCAAAAUGGAUUAGAUACCCAUGUAGUCCGGGCAGUAAACACUGAUUACUAAACAUUGUGCUCUCCUAGAGAGGGUGCAGUGCUGAAUGGGAAGCUGAAGAGUAAUCUACCUGGGGGAGUAUAGCCGCAAGGCCGAAACUUAAAGGAAUUUGGCGGGGGAGCA